GAUCAUAGAUCUCAGUCAUCUGAUAUGCCCUGGUACAGCCCAAGACUCACAGAUCUAAGUUAACAAGCAAAUGAUGGGAGAACUGCUCUCAGGAUGUCUUCCAAGAUGUUAUCUACCAUCUGCAUGCUAAUUUCACUGAAACCACA